rnacentral:rRNA from 1 species
UACGGGGGGGGCAAGCGUUGUUCGGAAUUACUGGGCGUAAAGGGCUCGUAGGCGGCCAACUAAGUCAGACGUGAAAUCCCCAGGCUUAACCUGGGAACUGCGUCUGAUACUGGAUGGCUUGAAUUCGGGAGAGGGAUGCAGAAUUCCAGGUGUAGCGGUGAAAUGCGUAGAUAUCUGGAGGAAUACCGGUGGCGAAGGCGGCAUCCUGGACCGACACUGACGCUGAUGAGCGAAAGCUAGGGGAGCAAACGGG